rnacentral:rRNA from 1 species
CCUACGGGAGGCAGCAGUGAGGAAUAUUGGUCAAUGGACGAGAGUCUGAACCAGCCAAGUAGCGUGAAGGAUGACUGCCCUAUGGGUUGUAAACUUCUUUUAUAUGGGAAUAAAAUGUUGCACGUGUGCCAUUUUGUAUGUACCAUAUGAAUAAGGAUCGGCUAACUCCGUGCCAGCAGCCGCGGUAAUACGGAGGAUCCGAGCGUUAUCCGGAUUUAUUGGGUUUAAAGGGAGCGUAGGUGGAUUGUUAAGUCAGUUGUGAAAGUUUGCGGCUCAACCGUAAAAUUGCAGUUGAAACUGGCAGUCUUGAGUACAGUAGAGGUGGGCGGAAUUCGUGGUGUAGCGGUGAAAUGCUUAGAUAUCACGAAGAACUCCGAUUGCGAAGGCAGCUCACUGGACUGCAACUGACACUGAGGCUCGAAAGUGUGGGUAUCAAACAGGAUUAGAUACCCUAGUAGUC